rnacentral:lncRNA from 1 species
UUUGGACUGAAAGAACAGGAUUGUAAAGUUCUGGAGGUGCAAGGAAACAUGGAAUAUUUUAGAAAAUGUCUAAUAGGGACUCACAAGUUCGAAGGUGAGGAGCAAGAUCUAGGUUAGAAUCACACUGCAGAAUUAUCUUCACUCAGUAAACAAUGGAAGUCGUGGGCGAGAGAAUACAGGCUGAGCACAAACAGCAGGAAGACGAUGGUGGCCAAGGACAGCACUCAGUUGGGCCACAGCGCUUUCCAAGG